ACCCACAUCUGUUGAAAAAGAUCGGGAUGAGCUGUGCCUAGGGGUGAAAGGCCAAUCAAACUCGGAGAUAGCUGGUUCUCUGCGAAAUCUAUUUAGGUAGAGCGUCAUCCGAAUACCCCCGGGGGUAGAGCACUGGAUGGGUAAUGGGGCCCCACAGGCUUACUGAUCCUAACCAAACUCCGAAUACCGGGGAGUACUAG
rnacentral:rRNA from 1 species